UUUUAUUGCCGUGCGUUUUACUGUCAUUGUGAAUGAUUUUAACUUUAUUCACUCACGUCCUGGAGAACGCGGCACGAGCUUGAAAGCUGCACCCGCUCGACAUGUCCAAAGAAACGUGUUCGCAUCGCCGUUUUCAUUCAUCAGAUUAGAAACGAAGAUGUAUCAUCGCAUCGAAACGUAGAAGAACUGUAACGACUGGAGCGGAGCGAGUGAAAUGCAUCCGUUUGAGCGAGGCUGGACACAAAGUUAAAAAGAUCCAGCAGACGCAAAUCUACGAAACUUUAAAAAACAAGGCAUCGAUUCAACUCCUGAUGACAAGCCACCAUCCAGCAAGGAAGCAAUGCAAAUGGCAACAAAAAUCCUUCAGUAUGCACAUGAAUUACCAGACAACAGUGAUCAACGGGACAGUUACUUGCAACUAGCAAGAAAACUGUAUGACACGCAGGCAAACAUUGUCAUAAACCAAAGAAUGCAUCCAACAAAACAAUCCAAAAUACAGUACACAUUUUUUCCCAAGACAGAAAAAAUAAACAUUAAAAUACUGUAUGUAUUUUACUGUUGUGUUUUUUUGGGGAUACACCUGGAUUGCAGUUUUGGUUAUAUAAACAGUUUUUGGACAGUAUAGUUUUGUAUUUUAUUGAUUGUGUUGUUACACGUGCAUUUUGUCAACAUACUUGCAGGUUCAUAAAGGACAUGUACCAUG